CCUACGGGAGGCAGCAGUGAGGAAUAUUGGUCAAUGGACGAGAGUCUGAACCAGCCAAGUAGCGUGAAGGAUGACUGCCCUAUGGGUUGUAAACUUCUUUUAUAUGGGAAUAAAAUGUUCCACGUGUGGGAUUUUGUAUGUACCAUAUGAAUAAGGAUCGGCUAAGUCCGUGCCAGCAGCCGCGGUAAUACGGAGGAGCCGGGCGUUAUCGGGAUUUAGUGGGGUUAAAGGGGGCGGAGGUGGGGGGGUAAGUCAGUUGUGAAAGUUUGAGGCUCAACCGGAAAAUUGCAGUUGAAACUGGCAGUCUUGAGUAUAGUAGAGGUGGGUGGAAUUCGUGGUGUAGCGGUGAAAUGCGUAGAGAGCACGAAGAAUUCCGAUGGCGAAGGCAGCUCACUGGACUGCAACUGACACUGAGGCUCGAAAGUGUGGGUAUCAAACAGGAUUAGAUACCCGGGUAGUC
rnacentral:rRNA from 1 species